CAGUAGCCACGGUAAUACGUAGGGUGCGAGCGUUAAUCGGAAUUACUGGGCGUAAAGCGUGCGCAGGCGGUUAUAUAAGACAGAUGUGAAAUCCCCGGGCUCAACCUGGGACCUGCAUUUGUGACUGUAUAGCUAGAGUACGGUAGAGGGGGAUGGAAUUCCGCGUGUAGCAGUGAAAUGCGUAGAUAUGCGGAGGAACACCGAUGGCGAAGGCAAUCCCCUGGACCUGUACUGACGCUCAUGCACGAAAGCGUGGGGAGCAAACAGGAUUAGAUACCCCGGUAGUCCCUGUCUCUUAUAA
rnacentral:rRNA from 1 species